GAUGAACGCUAGCGGCAGGCCUAAUACAUGCAAGACGAACGGCAAGAAUUAUAGCAAUACGGUUCCUAGAGUGUCGCACGGGUGCGUAACACGUAUGCAACCUACCUUGUACAGGAGUAUAGCUCGGGGAAACUCGAAUUAACCCUCCAUAAUAUAAUCGGAUGGCAUCAUUUGAUUAUUAACACUUCGGUGGUACAAGAUGGGCAUGCGUUUGAUUAGCUAGUUGGCGGGGUAAAGGCCCACCAAGGCGAUGAUCAAUAGGGGAACUGAGAGGUUGAUCCCCACACUGGCACUGAGAUACGGGCCAGACUCCUACGGGAGGCAGCAGUAGGGAAUAUUGGUCAAUGGAUGGAAGUCUGAACCAGCCAUGCCGCGUGCAGGAAGAAGGCCUUCUGGGUUGUAAACUGCUUUUGCCAGGGGAUAAAAAUUCUUUGCGAAGAAAAUUGAAGGCACCUGGUGAAUAAGCACCGGCUAACUACGUGCCAGCAGCCGCGGUAA
rnacentral:rRNA from 1 species